AGGUGCUGCAUGGCUGUCGUCAGCUCGUGCCGUGAGGUGUUGGGUUAAGUCCCGCAACGAGCGUAACCCCUGUCUUCAGUUGCCAUCGGGUGAUGCCGGGCACUCUGGAGGGACUGCCCAGGAUAACGGGGAGGAAGGUGGGGAUGACGUCAAGUCAGCAUGGCCUUUAUGCCUGGGGCUACACACGUGCUACAAUGGCCGGUACAAGGGGUUGCAAUCCCGCAAGGGGGAGCCAAUCCCAAAAAACCGGCCUCAGUUCAGAUUGUGGUCUGCAACCCGACCACAUGAAGGUGGAAUCGCUAGUAAUCGCGGAUCAGCACGCCGCGGUGAAUACGUUCCCGGGCCUUGUACACACCGCCCGUCACA
rnacentral:rRNA from 1 species